AGAACUUAACCGUUAGAAUAGUAUUCAUGAAAAACUCAAAAAAUUAAAAAUCAAAACAAAAAUAAAAUUAAAAUUGUUUGUUAGUGGCAAGGAGCACAUGGACUACGACGGGGGCCGUUCUCCAUCGAAACCGAACAAUGGUGCGCGUCGUCAUCAGGCAAACAAUGCUGCGGGUGAUCAUUGCUUCGAACUAGGUCGAUUACACUCGCAUAGUAAAUACUCCCAAGCAGCAGGUACCCAGACCGCUGUUCUGUCAUUGAUAAGGUGGCGGUCACGCCCUCUAGCUAAUGGUUAUACAUUCCAAAGCAGUUUAAAGUUACAAUAGAAUAGAUCAUUCCACUUUGAUUUUUG
rnacentral:lncRNA from 1 species